rnacentral:tRNA from 1 species
GGACAGUUGGGUGAGUGGCUGAAACCACAUCCCUGCUAAGGAUGCGUAUCCGUAAGGGUACCGAGAGUUCGAAUCUCUCACUGUCCG